rnacentral:misc_RNA from 1 species
CGACAUUAUUUCUGGAACAACCCAUGGGUUGGCUCGCUCGGCCGA